UCGGGAAUUUUGGGCAAUGGGCGAAAGCCUGACCCAGCAACGCCGCGUGAGGGAUGAAGUAUUUCGGUAUGUAAACCUCGAAAGAAUGGGAAGAAUAAAUGACGGUACCAUUUAUAAGCUCCGGCUAACUACGUGCCAGCAGCCGCGGUAGUACGUAGGGGGCAAGCGUUGUCCGGAUUUACUGGGUGUAAAGGGCGCGCAGGCGGGAUAAAAAGUCAGUGGUGAAAUCCUACAGCUUAACUGUAGAACUGCCUUUGAUACUUUUAUUCUUGAGUUCGGGAGAGAGAGACGGAAUUCCAGGUGUAGUGGUGAAAUACGUAGAUAUCUGGAAGAACACCAGUUGCGAAGGCGGUCUCUUGGUCCGACACUGACGCUGAGGCGCGAAAGCGUGGGGAGCAAACA
rnacentral:rRNA from 1 species